ACACUGAUGGUGAAGCGGUUAUCAUGCUUGCCUUCCAGCUUUCGGCUUACGUCAGCCGAUUACGUAAGCAGUUGCUAGCAAGCGGCAGGGGUUCGACUCCCCUUCAGUGUA